rnacentral:tRNA from 1 species
ACCUAAAAAGCGAUAAGUUCGCGCUAAGUUUCGGCCUUAGUUUUGAGUAGAAAGUUCUCUUUAGGUU